UCGGUAGUUCAGCUGGUUAGAACGCUAGCCUGUCACGCUAGAGGUCGUGGGUUCGAUCCCCAUCCG
rnacentral:tRNA from 1 species